rnacentral:rRNA from 1 species
UACAGAGGGGGCUAGCGUUGUUCGGAAUCACUGGGUGUAAAGGGUGCGUAGGCGGUCCGUUAAGUCUGAUGUGAAAGCCCUGGGCUCAACUCAGGAAUGGCAUUGGAAACUGGCGGGCUGGAGUACUGGAGAGGGAAGCGGAAUUCCUGGUGUAGCGGUGAAAUGCGUAGAUACCAGGAGGAACACCGGUGGCGAAGGCGACUACCUGGCCUGUUCUUGACGCUGAGGCGCGAAAGCUAGGGGAGCAAACGGG